UACGGAGGGGGCGAGCGUUAUUCGGAAUUAUUGGGCGUAAAGGGCGCGUAGGCGGCUUGAUAAGUCAAAGGUGAAAUCCCUCGGCUCAACUGAGGAAUUGCCUUUGAAACUGUCUGGCUCGAGGCCGGGAGGGGGUAGCGGAAUUCCCAGUGUAGCGGUGAAAUGCGUAGAUAUUGGGAGGAACACCGGUGGCGAAGGCGGCUACCUGGACCGGUUCUGACGCUGAUGCGCGAAAGCGUGGGGAGCAAACAGG
rnacentral:rRNA from 1 species